CCCGGUAAAACUCGUGCCAGCCACCGCGGUUAUACGAAAGGCCCAAGUUGACAGACAACGGCGUAAAGAGUGGUUAGGGAAACUUUUUAAACUAAAGCCGAACGUCCUCAAAGCUGUUUAACGCUUCCGAGUUAAGAAGGUCUUUAACGAAAGUAGCUUUACCAAACCUGACCCCACGAAAGCUGUGAAACAAACUGGGAUUAGAUACCCCACUAUGCUCAGCCCUAAAAUUCGAUAGGUCACUACGCCCCCUAUCCGCCCGGGUACUACGAGCAUCAGCUUGAAACCCAAAGGACUUGGCGGUGCUUCACAUCCGUCUAGAGGAGCCUGUCCUGUAACCGAUAAUCCCCGUUAAACCUCACCCUCCCUUGUUAAUUCCGCCUAUAUACCGCCGUCGUCAGCCUACCCUGUGAAGGACUAAAAGUGAGCAAGAUUGGUAAGACCCAAAACGUCAGGUCGAGGUGUAGUAUAUGAGAGGGGAAGAGAUGGGCUACAUUUCCUAAAUCAGGAAAUACGAACAAUGAACUGAAAUAAGCAUUAGAAGGUGGAUUUAGCAGUAAGCAGAGAAGCAGAGUGUCCUGCUGAAGUUAAUGGCAAUAGAGCACGUACACACCGCCCGU
rnacentral:rRNA from 1 species